rnacentral:rRNA from 1 species
UACGGAGGGGGCUAGCGUUGCUCGGAAUCACUGGGCGUAAAGCGCACGUAGGCGGAUCUUUAAGUCAGGGGUGAAAUCCUGGAGCUCAACUCCAGAACUGCCUUUGAUACUGGAGAUCUCGAGUCCGGAAGAGGUGAGUGGAACUCCGAGUGUAGAGGUGAAAUUCGUAGAUAUUAGGAAGAACACCGGUGGCGAAGGCGGCCCAACUGGUCCGGUACUGACGCUGAGGUGCGAAAGCGUGGGGAGCGAACAGG